AAAUGUACUGUAAGCACAUAGCCAGUCUCCAAAGUAAGUCGAAGACAGUGGCAUGGAUGGUGAGGAUGAUGUUGUAGUGGCCAUUGCGCACAGCAUAUGGUUCAGCCUCGUCUGCAGCGAAAUGUAGCAUCACCCACACCAGCUUGCGACAGCUUCCAGGUGUGCGUGUGUGAGUCCAUCCACGCACCUAUCUUUCCUGAAGAUGUGGACCUGGGUGUUUGUCUCCAGGAGAUUUCUACAGCUG